ACCGAAUAGAUACCCGGGUAGUCCACGCCGUAAACUAUGAACGCUAGCCCGUUGGCGAGCUUGCUCGUCAGUGGCGCAGCUAACGCAUUAAGCGUUCCGCCUGGGGAGUACGGCCGCAAGGUUGAAACUCAAAGAAAUUGACGGGGGCCCGCACAAGCGGUGGAGCAUGUGGUUUAAUUCGACGCAACGCGCAGAACCUUACCAGGGUUUGACAUCCCGAGACCGCUGCUGAAAGGCAGUUUCCCGCAAGGGCUCGGAGACAGGUGCUGCAUGGCUGUCGUCAGCUCGUGUCGUGAGAUGUUGGGUUAAGUCCCGCAACGAGCGCAACCCUCGCCUUUAGUUGCCAUCAUUAAGUUGGGCACUCUAGAGGGACCGCCGGCGACAAGCCGGAGGAAGGUGGGGAUGACGUCAAGUCCUCAUGGCCCUUACACCCUGGGCUACACACGUGCUACAAUGGCGGUGACAGUGAGCAGCUAACUCGCGAGAGUAUGCUAAUCUCCAAAAACC
rnacentral:rRNA from 1 species